AAACAUUUAUAAACAAACAUUAAAUAUAUAAGAAUCUUUGCUUGUUAAACUACAGUUCAUGAUCUGUGUUUUAACACAGAAAAUGGUGAUCAGGUGCUCAUGAAAAAUGAAAACUAUCUGCAGAUUUUGAAAAAUAAAGAUCAACGAAGGAGGCUUGUGCAUGAAAUCUGUACCUUUUUGGACAGCAGCCAGUCUGUUCAGGAGAUUGAUGCUCUGAGAACAGAAAAUAGGAAGCUAAAAAAUGCGGUAUCUAUCUAACAUUUCUGCCAUUUUAUGGUUAUGGUUAUGGCUGACUUAAAUGCUGUCCCUGUGCUUCACUGCAUGGGUCUGUCAUUACUUCUAGUGCUUCACCCCAGUCAGUAGUAUAAAUUUUGUGGUUGUAUAUAAACCCUGGCCUGAAUUCUGAAUUGGAUGUUAGUUAGAAAGGGAAAGUUUCCUGCUUCAUAGGUUCUGGGGAAAGGGGGAGGGUGUAUACUGCGAACCAGUAAACUGGAGAUUAUGUAAAUAUGAUUUUAUUUGUUUGUGUAUAUAAAUACUUUCCUUACUGGUGAUGCCUCUUGGCUAAAUAUUCACAGCUUGUUCUGUGCUGUAAUUUCUGAUUGCUGUAGCCAAAUUCUAGAAAGAAAGAAAUAAAAAAAGGGAAAUUGCUGGAUGCAUAUUCAGAAAUAAAAGACUGGACAUUUCCUCUUCAUGAUUAUCUGUGAUCAGAUCACUUCUCUGGAAAUUUUUCUAUUGAAAAUGUCCAGAGAAGUGAUCUGAUCACAGAUACUUAUGAGGAGGGGGCAUAAUUCUCUGUUUGGAAUAUAGAAUUUAUAACAAGGGCUAAUACCAUUCUCAUUAUUUGUUUCAAUUAGAACUCAAGAUUGCGUUAUAAAACAAAAGGUAUGUAUUCAUAACCCCCCAAAAAAUCACUGAAGGGUUCAUUCAUCUUGGGAAAGCAGAUAUGUGAUUUUAUCAUAUAUUCUGUACUGGCAUUUCUGCCAGGAGCUCAGGAGGCUUGUGUAGAUGAGUAUGUAGAAUCGAGUAAACACAUGGAAAACUUGAAAGCAACAGAACACCUGGAUAGUCAGUGUGUAUAAAAAAUCCAUGUAUGUAGAGGCUUACAUUACUCUGUAGAAAGGAUGAAAAUGAGUAUAGAAGUUGUGGAACCCCACUCCCUUAUGCAGCAGUUUGUGUGUUUCUAUUUACUUUAUGUAAUUCUGCAAAGAUGUGGACCUUAGAACAUCUAUCUGUGUAAAAGGAGAUUCUAUAACACUUUGAUAAUAUUUUAUCUCAUUCACACGGAGUCUUGGAAUUUAUAGUUUGGAGAGGGAUUUAGAAACUUAUGCCAGAAAACUAUGGGGCUAUAAUUUGGGGACAAUGUAGCUCACCAAAUUUUUCAAACCUUAGCAAACAACAAAUAAUAAGAUUCCCCAGGAGCCUAUGCAUUUAAAUAGCAUCAAAGUGCUAUAAUUGUGCAGUGUGCCUAAUUCCCAUAAUUGUAUGUCAUGGUGGAGGCAAGAAGAUACAUGUUUUCAUACUUUUGUGCUUUCAUAUUGACAGUCUCUAGUUAUAGUAUCCCUAUGAAUCCCAUGUGGUUUUCUUAGGCAAUUAACAUUUCAAUGUGGUUUUGCUAGUUGCCUCCUCUGAAAUAUAGCAUAUUGCCUCUGGUUUUUACUUUUGUCUUAAAAUUAGAGUUGGACUUUUCUAAGUUAAACUGUCAUUUUCCUUCCUUUUUAGAUUGGGCUCUAAAGAAAGAAGAGUAUGAAAAGUAAGGCAUGA
ensembl:lncRNA